CAGGGUCUGUUUAUUAUUUCGAGAAAAACAUCUUCACCUCCGAUCGAGCGAGUCUUCAUCUUCAUCGUAAAGCCACCCCAGAGAGUCGACAUGGGCAAAGGAAAAGGCGGAGGAGGUGGAGGCGGAGGCGGCAAGACUGACGACAAAAAAGGCGGCGGUGGCAAAGCUGGUGACAAGGGAGGAAAAGGAAGCG